AAGUUUCUGGGAUCACAGUAGGAAUUUUGCAUCUGUAAAUUCUAAGUUUUGAAGGAUUUGUAAGAAAUGUUUGAGGGAACUAACUUGAUGUUUAAUAUUAAGUCUGUUCUUACAAAUCCUUCAAAACUCAGAAUUCACUCAUGCAAGGCCUGAUUACACAAACUUUGAUUGUGUGAACCAGACUUAAGGCAAUAGAGAGCAAAUGAGCUUGUUAUUUUAAAACUGUAAAUGCAGUAUAAUGACGUUUUGAUAUAAGGAAGAAAAUAUGAAGCGAAGAAGUUAAACGAAGAUUCGGCCGAAAACAUUAUUCCCGCCGUUUUACGUUGCCCUUACGCGAAGCUUAAACUCCCAUUAACUCAUCUGUAAAAAUUUGUAGAUUUGUGGUAGAUUUCAUAAGAAUUUAUUUGUAUUGAUAAAGUUUAAAUUAACUGCAUGAGAUAAAACGUUAACUAUACGUAUUUGGUAUAAUAGCCGAUUUGUGCACAAAUCAAAUAAUUGCGAAAUUGAUGAUAUCACAAAACAUGUAUAUAUAAGAGAAAAAUAUACACUAUAUUACUAUAAGAACAGAUAAAUAUAUAGUUUGGCUUGUAUCUGGUUUAGGGGUGGACCACUGGAAGGAGGGCGGGACGGUGGCAGAUCCCCCCAAAAAAUGUCAUGCAAAGAGUGGAAUUUGAACAAAAAUAAUGCAAGCAUUUAUGGGAAAGAAAAAAACCCCUGCAACUACAUGGAAUGUGAAGUAAAUUCAUUAAAAAAUUCCUACAUAUAGCUUUUACACCGUAAAAAAGUUACCGAACUUGAUAGCUGAAAAAUCUUGCAACCAAAGUUUCCCUUCCCCCGUUUAUGUUAUGGUAUGUAUAUAUAGUUAUGGUCCACCCCUUAUUUUCAUUCACAACCUCGCAAGUCUGGCACUUCAUCUCCGCUUUCCCAUGAUUGGCUUGCAAGGUUGUGUCGUUCAUUCUGAUUAAGAGAACCAAAGAAAGAAGUUUUUAUAAUUAGAAAAAAAAGUUGUUAUAAAGUAGAAAAAAGAAUCAUUCUGUAAAAAACACCAUGUCAAUACAAAUUUUAUUCAGAACGGUGUGUAUUAGUGUAGGUAUAUAUAUAUAGGGAUGCAACUACCUGAAAAAUACAAGGAGAACUUCGACGUUCUCCUCAGUUGUAUUUUUCAGGUACAGUGUGUCCCUAUCAAUCCGAAACAUUUUAUUUACGCUGUUUCGCAGGCACUGCCGGUGUAUAUAAUAUUCGCAGUUUUUGAUCUACUUUGCGGUCGCAACCAAGAUCCAAAUAUUGAUGAUAAUUUUCCUGUGUUGAAGUUAUUCCACUUAUAUAUGACUUAAAUAUGCCGCCUAUAGUAUGAACGUAAUGACAGUGCUAUAUUUGUCUAUCCGGUGGGAAAUAAUAAA
rnacentral:lncRNA from 1 species